rnacentral:rRNA from 1 species
UGGGGAAUUUUGGACAAUGGGGGCAACCCUGAUCCAGCAAUGCCGCGUGAGUGAAGAAGGCCUUCGGGUUGUAAAGCUCUUUUGUCAGGGAAGAAACGGUAGUAGCGAAUAACUACUACUAAUGACGGUACCUGAAGAAUAAGCACCGGCUAACUACAUGCCAGCAGCCGCGGUAAUACGUAGGGUGCAAGCGUUAAUCGGAAUUACUGGGCGUAAAGCGUGCGCAGGCGGUUGUGUAAGUCAGAUGUGAAAUCCCCGGGCUCAACCUGGGAAUUGCAUUUGAGACUGCACGGCUAGAGUGUGUCAGAGGGGGGUAGAAUUCCACGUGUAGCAGUGAAAUGCGUAGAUAUGUGGAGGAAUACCGAUGGCGAAGGCAGCCCCCUGGGAUAACACUGACGCUCAUGCACGAAAGCGUGGGGAGCAAACAGGAUUAGAUACCCCCGUAGUCCCUGAGCGGGCUGGCAAGGCGCAU